rnacentral:rRNA from 1 species
AUAUUAUUAAGCGGAGGAAAAGAAACUAACUAGGAUUCCCUUAGUAACGGCGAGUGAACAGGGAAAAGCUCAAUUUGAAAAUCAGCAGUUUACUGUUGAAUUGUAGUCUCACGAAAUGCAGUCAGUGUCUGUUAUGGGCUAAGUCUUUUGGAAAAAAGUACCAUAGAGGGUGAAAGUCCCGUCUGGGCUCAGUAGCAGACACGUUCGGCGCAUUUUCUUAGAGUCGCGUUCUUUGAGAUUGGAGCGCUAAUUGGGUGAUAAAUUUCAUCUAAAGCUAAAUAUUAACGAGAUUCCGAUAGCAUACAAGUACCGUGAGGGAAAGAUGAAAAGAACUUUGAAAAGAGAGUUAAAAGUGACUGAAAUUGCUGUAAGUGAAGCGGAGUGUUUGGGCGUCUAACAGUUCUUCCUGGCUGGUUUGCUGGCCGUGGAAGUGCUUGUGGUGACUUUGGGAUAGAUCAUAGUUAGUGAACAAAGGUAUAGGAACCUUUGGCUUGCCAUUGGUUCCUUAUCCUGGAUUUCACGGACUGUGAUCUAGGUAACUAGUGUUGGUAUAACUAACACUAUAACAUCCCAAAGAAGUCCUUUCUCUCCGU